rnacentral:lncRNA from 1 species
AGUGCACAGUCAGUCCAAAACCCUAGAAAAGUCAAAGUUGGUCAACUGUGGUUGAUUUUAUGGUUUUGAUGGAUGGAAAUGGUUUGAGAGAGCUUAUUCAUGUCCUAAUAGGCCUCAUGUGUCAUGGCAAUCAACAUCAUUGAAGAAUUUGAAGCCAAUCAGAAAAUUUCCAGAAAUAGAAAGUGGACCUGUAAUUUCAAC